rnacentral:lncRNA from 1 species
UCGACUUCUCACUCUUGGCCAUUCCACCUUGUACAAUUCCAGGGGGCACCAUGCUUGAUGUAGUCCAGGCUGACAAUGCUCCUGGGAUGUGCUGCCUGUGAGAUGGGUCUACCCUUCCCAGGUUACAGAAGAGCAAACUGAGCUUCAGAGAGGAUGGGUGAAUUGGCCAAGGAUGCACAGCUAAUUAAAGCCCUAUGAAGAAGGCAUAACAAGACUUUACCACAGAGGCUACGAAUAAUACCUUUGAUCCACUGAGCACCUACUCUGUGCCAGCCCCUGGGCAGGAACUGGCAUGCAUGGGCAUGUAUGAUUGCACCAGAAAUAAGUUCUAUCAUUGGCCCUGUUUACUCAUGAACACAUGAAGCUUGCUAUGAAAGUUUAAGACACCCAAGGCCACAAGGCAGUCCCGUGGCCAUGCCAAACCAGCCUGCAGCAGAGCAGGAAUGCCAACCCCAGGUCUGUGCUUGAGCUCCUGUACCUCUGUCUCUGUGGCAGCACGAACAGGUGUCCCAUAACCAGGACAGAUCACCUGGAUGCCUGCCUGCCCUGAUAACUGAUGUUGAAGGCCUCAGGGUGGAAAAUGAAAGAUGCUUAAGGUCACUGCCCCUCCUGUUCUGUACACAAGCCUAAGCUCGGGAGGAAAUAAUUUGAGGUAUCUGGAAGAAGCAGAGAGAGCAGGGCAGCUCUGAAGUCACUGCGAGGCUGUGAGAGGUCAGCCAGCGCUUCAAAGGACCCCAGGACCUUUGCAUAACCCUGGACUGAAUGGGAAGGGAAAGUCCCAGUCAUGACAGAAACGGAAUUUCCCACCAACUCAGUAGGAGGUUUGGGGUUCAGGGUCAGUUUCAUGGCAGUGCAAACAAAAUAAAGAAAAUGUGAUAUUUAUUGCUUACUUAAAUUUGUGGACCAAACUGCCUACCAUGCUAUCCACACUGUUUCCUGCAGGUGGUCAAUGUGGGCUUAAGGGAAAAGUAACUCAUCUUAAUAUUUGCUUAAAUCAAAUGGAAUAUAGAAAGUAAAUAAAUCUGCUGCCAAGCCAUCAAGUAGGGCAUUCUAAACCCAAAAUAAAGAGCCUAUGGACUGUCUGUGGAUUUAGAUUAUGCAUAGUUUUCUGCCACCACUCCCUGUAUUCAAAUCAAUAGUCACAUUUCAUUGCAGACACUUGGAGCUGUCUGGGUUCAAAUCCCAGCUCUGUUGCUUAUUAGCUGAGACACUUCAGCCAAGGUACUGACACUCUCUGUGCCUCAAUUUCCCCAGCCAUUAAGUAGGAGUCAUAAUUGCAUAACCCCCACAGGGUGGAUGUGACAAUUCAACCGGAUCACAAAAGUGCAUGCUCAGCCUAGUGCCUGGCACACUGUAAGGAUCAAUAAACAGGAGCUAUUAUUAUUAUGCUAAUUUGAAGGAUUCUUGUUUUUAAACGUCCUCAUUUCACAUUGCAGAUACCCAAAUAGAAACACAGAUUUUCAUUUGCUUACAAACCUUCCACUUUUCUCCAGCUAGAAGUUACAGGUGGCCCCUAUGGGUGAAUGUGUUAGGUAACACUCACACUUUAAGCAAGGGGAAAUGCAGGCCCAGAGAGAGU